GGGCGUAAGGAUGCGUAGGCUGGAAAUCAAGUCGAGAGUGAAAUCCAACGGCUCAACCGUUGAACUGCUCUCGAAACUGGUUACCUAGAAUAUGGGAGAGGUAGAUGGAAUUGGUGGUGUAGGGGUAAAAUCCGUAGAUAUCACCAGGAAUACCGAUUGCGAAGGCGAUCUACUGGAACAUUAUUGACGCUGAGGCAUGAAAGCGUGGGGAGCAAACAGGAUUAGAUACCCUGGUAGUCCACGCCCUAAACGAUGCACACUAGUUGUUGCGAUGCUAGUCAUUGCAGUAAUGCACUUAACAGAUUAAGUGUGCCGCCUGGGGAGUACGGUCGCAAGAUUAAAACUCAAAGGAAUAGACGGGGACCCGCACAAGCGGUGGAGCAUGUGGUUUAAUUCGAAGAUACACGAAGAACCUUACCUGGGCUUGAUAUCCUAAGAAUCCUGUAGAGAUAUGGGAGUGCUAGUUUACUAGAACUUAGAGACAGGUGCUGCACGGCUGUCGUCAGCUCGUGUCGUGAGAUGUUGGGUUAAGUCCCGCAACGAGCGCAACCCUCGUGAUUAGUUGCUAACAGUUCGGCUGAGCACUCUAAUCAGACUGCCUUCGCAAGGAGGAGGAAGGUGAGGACGACGUCAAGUCAUCAUGGCCCUUAUGCCCAGGGCUACACACGUGCUACAAUGGCUAGGACAAAGAGAAGCGAUACUGCGAAGUGGAGCAAAUCUUAAAACCUAGUCUCAGUUCGGAUUGGAGUCUGCAACUCGACUCCAUGAAGCUGGAAUCGCUAGUAAUCGUAGAUCAGAUAUGCUACGGUGAAUACGUUCCCGGGUCUUGUACUCACCGCCCGUCACACCAUGGGAGUUG
rnacentral:rRNA from 1 species